ensembl:snRNA U6 U6 spliceosomal RNA
GUGCUCACUUUAGCAGCACAUAUACUAAAACUGGAACAUUACAGAGAUUAGCAUGGCCUCUGCACAAGGAUGACAUGCAAAUUCAUGAAGCGUUCCAUGUUUUU